rnacentral:rRNA from 1 species
AUAUAAGCUUGCAGUCCAUGUGUUAAGUCUUUCCGUACACUGUGUUGUCUAACACAUGACUGCUACUGUUUAGAUUUGUUAACUGUUGUGUUCUGCAGCAAUUUUUUCUAGAUUAUCCUAGGAUUGCUCUUCAUUUAUUUCAUACUUGUAGUUGUAUGUUCUACCUUGGUAUCAUCAUAGUUUCAUUACUGGAGGACUUUUCAGAUCUCAACCGUGUUUGGUUCUGUAUGUUCUUCAGUUAUUAUGGGGAAUUAUCUAGCUGGUUGAACUUUCUUCCCAAAUAUAGAAGGAAUUCAGUUAUCAUAUGCUUUGCUGAACUCUGUGCAUCCGUCCAAUAACUUUAGUAUAUAUGCUUAAUUGUUAUAUAUGUUGGCUGCAUAAUCUUUUCAAGUAUCUGAAAAUGGAAUUCUCAACUCUGUUCACACACAUAUUAGUAUGUCACAGUUCACAAUUGGUACCGAAAACAGUAUUAUUAUGCUUUUCAAAUUUGUUGUGGGAAAUUGUUUUCUCUCACUUUGCUGCUUCGUUCACUUCAUGCUAUGUCUCAAUUAUGCUGGUUCCAGUAAAUUAGUUUUGCUUCAUUCCCUGUGUGCUGUAUUUAUGAUGUUUCCUGUAAAUUAGUUUUGCUGACUACUAUCUUUGAUCAAUGUAAUGUAAGUAAGUGUUUGUGACUGUCGUUUCUUAUUUAUACUAUAAUUUGGACCUUGCUGGCAAAGUUGGGGUAUUGAAAACUCAACUUGGGCUAGCAAUAAAAUAUAAAUAUCUACAACAUCUGCACUGAAUAUUUUACGAACUCUCUUAUUUCAUUUAGUUGAACAAUUGUUUCUAUUGGGGAACUGGGCCCAUGGAAGUUUUUUUUCCCAGGUCCCUCAUAUUUCUGUUGGUGUGUCUUUUUGGCUGUCUACAGGUGAACUAGUCUCAGCCGGGCUCUAUCAAGAUGUCUGAGAGCCAGGAAACUGAUAGGAACAUUGAAAUCUGGAAGAUUAAAAAGCUAAUCAAGGCACUGGAGUCUGCUAGAGGCAAUGGCACAAGCAUGAUCUCCCUUAUUAUGCCUCCACGUGAUCAGGUUUCUCGAGUGGCGAAGAUGUUAGGCGACGAGUAUGGUACUGCUUCAAACAUCAAGAGUAGAGUCAAUCGUCAAUCAGUUUUGGGUGCCAUCACCUCAGCUCAACAGAGGCUGAAGCUUUACAACAGAGUUCCUCCCAAUGGUUUGGUUCUCUACACUGGAACCAUUGUUACUGAUGAUGGAAAGGAAAAGAAAGUUACUAUUGAUUUUGAGCCAUUCAAGCCUAUAAAUGUCUCACUUUACCUUUGUGAUAACAAGUUCCACACUGAGGCUUUAAAUGAGUUGUUGGAAUCUGAUGACAAGUUUGGCUUCAUUGUUAUGGAUGGUAAUGGUACACUUUUUGGCACACUAAGUGGAAAUACACGUGAGGUGCUUCACAAAUUUACUGUUGAUCUCCCAAAGAAGCAUGGUAGAGGAGGGCAUUCGGCUCUACGUUUUGCUCGUCUUCGGAUGGAAAAACGUCAUAACUAUGUCCGAAAAACUGCUGAGCUUGCUACUCAGUUUUUUUAUCAAUCCAGCUACAAGUCAGCCUAACGUUUCUGGACUGAUUCUUGCUGGUUCUGCUGAUUUCAAGACAGAGCUGAGCCAAUCUGAUAUGUUUGACCAGAGACUUCAAGCCAAGAUACUUAAUGUGGUUGAUGUUUCUUAUGGCGGUGAGAAUGGUUUCAACCAAGCUGUUGAGUUGUCAGCUGAGAUUCUAGCAAAUGUGAAGUUCAUAUAGGAGAAGAAGUUAAUUGGCAAGUACUUUGAAGAGAUCAGUCAAGAUACUGGGAAAUAUGUCUUUGGUGUUGAUGACACUCUAAAGGCUCUUGAGAUGGGUGCUGUUGAGACUCUGAUAGUAUGGGAGAAUCUUGAUAUCAACAGAUAUUCGCUGAAGCACAGUGUCUCUGGGGAAGUCAUUGUCAAACAUUUGAACAAGGAGCAGGAAGCGGAUCAGAGCAAUUUCCGCGAUAGUGAGACCAAUGCCGAGUUGGAAGUUCAGGAAAAAAUAUCUUUGUUGGAGUGGUUUGCUAAUGAAUACAAGAAGUUCGGCUGCGCGCUCGAGUUCGUCACUAACAAGUCGCAAGAGGGAUCACAAUUCUGCAGAGGAUUCGGUGGCAUUGGUGGUCUGCUGCGCUAUCAGCUAGAUAUGCGGUCUUUUGACGAGGUCUCAGACGAUGAAGGUUUGUAUGAAGACUCUGAUUAGCAAUCAGCUAACCAAAUGAUUGUGCUGGCCCAUGGAAGGACGCCACAGCUCGGUUUCGCUCUACUUACGCAAGAACACUUCAAAGGCGGCUCUAUAUCCAGGGAUUGAUGGGCAUGGGCCAGCCUCGAACUAUGCCGAAGGAGUUCAUGACGAGAUGAUUGAGAUACCAUCAUCAUCAUGGAAAUAACAUGUCAAGACGUUAACCGGACUAAAAGCUCGUUAUGUUUAGUUGUCGCAUUGCGCUUCUAUAUAUUCAGUCGUUGUGUAGUGUCGGAUGUCUGUUAUUAUGCAUCUAGGGUUCCGAAGUCUAGUGCCUGCUUUUAAUAUUCAGCGUGGUGAAUGAACUCGUAUAAAUAUUGUGUAUUACUGUAGUAGUCUCUUACUCCUGCAGUUUUUGCAACGAAGACAUUGUUUUGCUAUAAAUAUUCCUCCUGUCUUGCUGUGUG